UAUAGUUCGGCUAUAGUGCUUUUAAAAGUACAAAGCAUUUGAUGGUUGUAAGUUUUUCGCUGUUAGAUUUACCCCUUUGAUCAUUUCCACAUGCUAGAUUAUACUAUUUGACCUAUCAAUCACACUUGCUAGUUCCGGCUCGUGCCUUAAUGGUGCAGGCUGCAGAGAUUGACUGCAUGAAAGCUUGAGCAUAGACAACUAAACCCCUUACUAUUUACUUACGAUGUCGCAAAAUUACAGCUGCAAAAUUUGGUAGCUUUGUGGCUUCAGAAAAGCGGCUUAUGAUAAUUGAUUUGAUUUGGAGUGUAGAGAGGGGAUGGACUUGUUUGACAUAUAUGGGAUUAGACAACUUGCAGGAAAAAAAAAACAAAAAAAAAAACUUGUUUUAGUUAUGAAAUCAGUACUUAGUACUAUAAUAUUUUCUUCUAGUAGUUAGAAAGAUUAUUCAAUUUGGAGGUCAUUAUCAUAUUAAAACAUCGAUUGCUUUGGACAUUUUGCAUCCUAUUCUUGUGUUUGGUUUAAGUAAAAUACGAGUCAACUAUUCCAGAAUGAAAGAUAUAUCAUGGACGAGCAUUUAAUGGAUGAUUUAAUUGUUUGGUGGCCUCUCAGUCUAUUGAGUGUUUUAGGUGCUUAAAUAUGCUUUUGAUGAAUAAAAUAGUUUUGUCCUCUCUUAUUUAAUUCGCAGUUGUUUAGUUGGUUGAGGGUAUCUUUUCUUUUUCUUUUCAUUAUUGAUGGAGAGUUAGCAACAAAUAGAAUACAAAACACCUAUCAUAAUAUUUAUAUAGUUUUCGAGGAAAGAGACAAAGGAGUGCGAUAUUAUAUUUUGAAGUCGACUUUGGACCUAUUUGUUUGCUUGAAUAACUUAUCUGACGUAUCUCCUCAUGUUUAAUGAAGGAUUGUGUGUGCUAUCUAUAUUGUAGGUUACAUAGUACCAGAGCUAAUUCUAAACUCCUUCGUUCUGUGAUGUCGUGAGCACUGCAGGAGGGACGACAACCCCGCCGAGCACCAACACCCCAUUUGCGACGCCGCCACCUCCGAUCUUUGGCGGCGGCGGUUUCGGCGGGCUGACUCCGCCAUCGGGCUUUGACUCAUCCGUGCCAAACUCGUCCUUCUCGAACGCUGGUUCUUUCGCCGCCUCUCACCUUCUUACUCUCUCCCAUUUAGCUUGCUUCUGUUUCCUCCUUGUCUUGUUUUGAUGGUGUAGACUAAAGGUUGUGUAGAACACACUUAUUUUUUUNUGGGGGGGGGGGGGGUAAGAGAAAACUACUGCCACAAUUUUGUUUGAGGAAAAAAAAAGAAAAAAGAAAAAGCAAAGAACAAAAUUUGCCUGUUGUAAUUUAACAUGUGUAGGAUAGAGUGUGGGGUAGUUCAGUAGUUGCUUGUAGAAAUUGGUAAUGGGAGUGUUAUAUUCAUUGUUUUGUUUAUUUUAGCUAAAGCCCAUGUAGUUGUUGCUCUCUUUUGUACUACUCAAUGUUGUUAUCAAAUGCUUUGAAUAGAGAAUUUAGAUGUAUUCACACCA